rnacentral:lncRNA from 1 species
UUUUUUCUUUUUUUUUCUUAUUUUGCUGACCCCUGAGGUGGUUGGGGCCACAGGUGGAGCCAUUCACAGUCCCCCAGUGGUCGCAGGCCACGCCGCCCUUUGGCCUCUGAGUAAACUGCUGCGAUCCAUUCAUGCAGCGUGUAGAUCAUGCAAGAGGCACCACGUUGCACUUAGCCCCCCACUGCCCUUAGCCCACACAAGAGGUGCCCAGGUACCCACAGCCCACACAGAAGUGCCCAGUCUCCCAUAGCCUGAGCUAGUGGUUUCUCGCCACCUGUGCCAGAGGCUCUCUGUCCUCUGAGAGCCAGUGCAUGCACAGAGCAGUUCUUAUGGUGGUCCGCUCCUCCUCCUCUCACCUUCCCCAGCAAUGGCACCUUGCCGCUCUGGGCCCAGACCUCCUCCCGGGUUUCCUCUGCCAUGGCAUUCCACUCCCCAGCCUGUAGCACAGUGCUCCCCUGCCCAUGGCACACUGCUCCCUAGGCUGUCCCACACAGCCAACCCUUGGCCUCUCCCUGGAACUGACCUCCAAGCCUGGGUCUCGCUGCCCAGCCCCUGUCCAGGUGUCUCAGGCUGUGGUGUCUGGGGAGGUGGUGCUGAUGGUCUGUGUGGCUCUCCCUCUACUUUGCCUUCCUCAGUCCAGCUGCUGCACUUUUCUCGGUGACUUUGAGGCCCCUCUGUCUUGGCUGAUCUCCCUGUUGGUUAGGUGGCUUCCCGGAUGUGGGUUCCUUUUCUCCUUCACCGCUCUUUCUCAGGAUUGCUAGUCCUUUCCCGAUUCCUUUUCUCUCUCUCUCUCUCUUCUUUUGUUCUACCGAGUUAUGUCAAGAGUUUCUUGUCCUUUUUAGAUUUUUAAGUUCUUCUCCCAGCGCUCAGUAGAUGUUCUUUGCGAAUCAUUUUACAUGUAGAUGUGUUUUUUGAUGUGUCUGUGGGAGAAAGUGAACGUGAUGUUUUACUCCUCCGCCAUCUUGAUCUUUCCUCUUUAAUUUGUAUCUUAAUGUUUAAAGUAUGUUUCUUGUUGAUAAUGCAUGUAAUCUCUGCCUUUUAACUGGGAGAAUUUAUGCAUUUUUACAUUUAGUGUGAUUAUUGAUAUGGUCAGGCUUAAAUCUGUUAUCUUACUAUCUGUUUUUCACUUAACCCAUCUUUUUGUUCUUUCCAUUGAUCAGGAAGCGGAUAAUGGUUUAAAAUAAAAUGUGACGUGCAUAUACUUGUGUAGAUUAGCCAGUAUUUAAAUUGCAUUAUAUUUCCAAGCACAGUCACAGCUCAUGCUGAAGAGGGCUAUAUUGCAUAGAAGUCACAGUGUGUCCUAGAAAUUGUAAUAUUUAUUUCUUGUUUGUUUCUAUAUUUUUUUUGUUUUCACUGCUGGAACAUAUGCUUUAUAAAACCAUAGGCUUUGUUUUUGUUUUUAUUUUUCAUCCAAGCAAUCCCUAGCUCAUAUUAGGUGCAAAGAAAUAUGUUUUAUUGUUCAUUGAUAGAAAUUAAAGAAGAUUCUUAGAAUCAAGAUCACCUGAGCCAGCUACAGGAAAAUGAGAGAAAACUAAUAGGUGUACAUUUUUUUAUUUAUCUAAUGUCAAAAAGGGGUUUUAACUAAAAGCAUGAGAUCAGGAUAAGAACCAAGGUCUGAGAAAAAUUUGCAAUCAAGCUUGGUAGAAACUAGUGAAGAAAGAGAGCAGGAGAUACCAGAAAUCACAUAUUAGAGUGCUUGCAAAGCUGCUUGAAUGUCGUUCUGCUUUUUGAAUUCCCUUUUGAUGGUCCAUGGCCCCACAGCUAAUGCUGUACCUCCAUUCCUUGGAAAUACACUCAUUUAUCUAUUAACUUGGUGAAAAUGUGUUGGAUACUUUUGUCUUGUUUCAAGAUUAAUGGAGGGUUGUCACAGCUUACUGAAGCGACAGAUAUUUACAUAUACAAAUAAAUUACCAUAAAGCAUAAUGAAGAGUGUGGUAAUGGGUAUGUGUGCAUGCGUCUGCGAGAACUGUGGGAGACAGGGAGGAAGAUGGAUUACUUUUCCUGGGAGGCAGGUCAGAGAAGAUGUCACAGAGAAAACCUUAAGAAUGAGCAGUAGUUUCUAAAGUGAACAAGGUGAGCAAGGCACUGAAUGGUUCUAUAGUAAGAUGAAAGAAAAUGUGAAAAUGCCUAAGGGCAUGAAAGAGCAUGGCCUAGUCAGGGUAUAACAAAGAGAUGAAGAGAAGAACCUUAGGUCUGCUACUUAGGAACUGCAAAUACUUGAAUGAGUUACUUCGUAUCUUAGAGCCCCCUUCUUCUAGCUGUAAAAUGGGAGUAACAAUACCUGCCUCGUGGUGUUACUAUGAACAUUAAAUGAGAUUAAUUAUUGAAUAUUUUAUCUCUCAUGUAAUUGAUGCUCGAUAAAUGGUCGCUAUUAUUACAACAACAAUUUCUGCUAUUACCAUUUCUCUUAGUUUUGCUGGAUCAGAAAGCCUAAGAGGGUAAGCAAAAUGCAGACCAAGAAAAGCCUCAUGCCGUGUGAAAGAGCUUCAGUGUGAUCUUGUGGCUUCUGGGGAAUUUGUUCUUAAAGGAUUUUAUCAGAGGAUUAAUAUUUUUGAACAUGGCUAUUCAGAACCUUACUGCUGACACCACUAUCUGAGAGAUGAUUGGGAGAUAGUGGAGAAGGGUAGGUAGCCUGAAAUAUAUCAAAUAUCAGAAGUGUUCUCUCUUGGAGUUCCCGUCAUGGCGCAGUGGUUAACGAAUCCGACUAGGAACCAUGAGGUUGCGGGUUCGGUCCCUGCCCUUGCUCAAUGGGUUAAUGAUCCGAUGUCGCUGUGAGCUGUGGUGUAGGUCGCAGACGCGGCUCCUAGGACUCAUUGCUGUGGCUCUGGUGUUGGCCAGUGGCUACAGCUCCGAUUUGACCCCUAGCCUGGGAACCUCCAUAUGCUGCGGGAGCAGCCCAAGAAAUAGCAAAAAGACAAAAAAAAGAAAAAAAAAAAAAAAAAAAAAAAAAAAAAAAAAAAAAAAAAAAAAAGAAGUGUUCUCUCUUAAUGAAAAACUUGCUAAAAAUAACAUGCAAAGUAGAUACAGACUGAGCAUGUAGUAGGCCAAAAACAUGUAAAAACCCAAUAAACACAUAUGUAGAAAGAUUAAUAGAAUUUCAGUGCUACUAUAUUUAAUAGGCGACGCACAGUUGUGCCAAGAUCUCUUUUCAGUGGAGUUACAUCACCCAGUUAUUCCUGUGAUAUUCUUGUGAUAUUUCUGUGUUCUCCUAUAGCCUCUCUACCUCAGUAUAAAAAGAUACACUGUACUAUGCUUUAUUGAAUGUUUGGCCACUUCUAAUUGUAAAGUUACACUUAAUCAGAAAUGCUGGAUUCACGCUGAAGUAAUUGACUGGCUAAUUACUCUUCUGGGAAUGUGGCCUUAGAUUAAUCAUUAUAAAUAAUGGGAAGCCAGAUAAGCUCACUCUUGCAUCCAAAACAAGGAAGAGGAAACAGUAUUAUUUUUAUGGUUUUAGCUUCUCUCACUUUCUAGAUGCUGCAGCUGUGUCCUCAUUGUAUUUUAUAGGCAGGAAAAAAAAAAAAUCACCCCUCAGCAGUUCCUAUAAUUUCAAAUUUAUAACUAUGGCCAGGGUAAUUCACCCGUAAGCCAACUAGAAAUAAAAAUAGAGGAGAUAGGCCCAUCUGUUGGAGUGAUUUCUUAACUGCAGAAAACAUUUUCCUUUCUUUAAAAGCAAAGCUGUAAAAUCUGUAUAAAUUCCAAUUCGUAAACCAUGAAACUCUAAUUUUUCCACUUCUCUAGUCACUUUGAGUAAAUGAUUUUGCAUAUGUGGGAUGUCAGAAAUCAACAAAAUGGUCCAGGGGAGUGUGAGAGAUUGAUUUUGACUACAUGAAAGUCUUUUAAGUGAUGGCAAAAAGAUUCUUCAGGUAAAUUAGGACCAAAAAGGAUUCUGUAUUGCUUGGUACUGAAAGAUCCAUAUAUAUCUUGGUUAGUAUUUUUUCUGCUGAACAAGUGAAUUUUAACAUCUUGUGUAAUUAUUUUUUGUUAACUAUGUGUUUCCUUAGUAAUUUAAAAAUUAACCCUCUUUUUAAAAAAAAAAACUCUAUUCUUAAAAUAAGGUCUCAGUUAAAAAUACUAAUGGGGCUAUUUAAAUAACCCGGAUAAAGCCAUUAUUUAACGAGAGAAAUCCCUUAUCCUGAUUAAUCCAGACAAGAGUAAUCAUUUCGCCUAAAUGUUCUGGCUAUGAUUCUAUCAAAUUUCCUCUUAUUCUACCUAUGUAGACUAAACUUUAGCUGGCAAAAACUGCUUUGUGUUUUAUGUAAAGUAUGACCUUGAUUCCUAUGUGAUAAAUUCAAGGGAAAGGCCUAUGGAGUACUUACCACUUGAGCAGCAGAAACCCUCUGUUCAGAACCUGCUAGAGUCUACGAAACGAGAGGUUUUUCCAUUAGAGUACCACGUAAUGGCAGUGCUUUCACUUUCACGAGCUGGUAAAUGCAAACGCAAUGAAGCAUAAGUGCUUUUCAGAUAAAUCUCAUGUAGCACUGCACAAUCCUUCCCUGGCGUUCUCAGAUCUUCUCAACGUGAUGAACAGGAAGGCUGAGACCACCAGGCAGUCACGCUGUAGGUGCACCCACCCCAUUAGCAAAGAUACAGUUAGAAGUGCCGCUUUUUAAUGCAGCUGUCAUCACCACUUUUAGGUAUUCUCAACGUCACGGUGUGUCUUACCAAGCGAAGGGAUCUAUACAGAGGAAGAAUCAUUCGUUAUAUUUAAAGCUUAUAGCUGUCGAACAGCCACAGAGAGUGAUUUUGCUGUAAUCAGAUUGUUUGCUUACCAGACUAUUUGCCUACCAGGUUACCUACCAUUUUUAUAUUCUUUUGUUUCUUUGUCCUCACACUUAUUCAUUCAUUCAUUCAUUCAUUCAUUCAAUAAGUACUUUAGUGCCUCCAUAGUUUGAAGGAUACAGCCUGUGUUAGUGAAAUUCAAGACCAUCUGAGGAGGCUUUGUUUCUCUUUCUCAGCUUAUCAGAAAAAUAAUUGAGUUGAGAGUAAUUGGGUUUACAUCAUGGAUUGAACUUUGGAAACUUCACUGACCAUUUAAUUUAAACGUAAGUAGACAUACAGCAAACUACAGUUUCUGUAAAUAUUUGAUUAUAUAUGUGGUUUGGAUGUCACUUGCAACCCUUUCUUAUUGGAACUCAAGGAAUUGGCAGGUAAAAGGAUGGGGUAUAUGACUGAAAAUAUUGGGGGAAACUUCUGCCAACUUUCUUGUCAGCGUCAGUCCUUGCCAAAUUGCCGAUAAAGAGAAAUGUGUCCUCGGCACUUCCUAAAUAUUGGUGUCCUUUUCUCCUUUCAGGAUGAAUUCUUCCAGAUUCUUAUAGUCAGCUCAGUAGCAGAAGGGUUUUUUUCAGGAAAGUGUUGAUAUCAGUUGAUAUUAGUUUUUUUUACUUUGGUGUGAAUUUAUAUCUCUCAGAACUCCUGCGCUUUAACAGGAGUCCAGAAAUAAAAGAUCAUCAUUAAAUGAAGGAAAUUCAAGAGUAAAUGACUCUAUGAGGGAGACAUUUUGGACACAUGGGUCCAUUCCAAACAAAACAAGUGAGUUCUUUACACAUGCAUAAGAUUACCCUCCCCAGACC